rnacentral:RNase_P_RNA from 1 species
CAGGUCGGCUGAGUGGUCGCGGCUCUGAUUAUCAGGGUCGAGGAAAGUCCGCACUCCACAGAGCACUUUGCCGGGUAACUCCCGGGGCGGGGUAACCUGCCGGAUCGGGCCACAGAGACAUACCGCCGGAUUCCGGUAAGGGUGAAAAGGUGGUGUAAGAGACCACCGGCGUCCCCAGUAAUGAGGGCGGCCAGGCAACCCCCAAAGGGAGCAAGGCCAAGCAGGGACCAGAGACUGCUCGUCUCACUGCCCCAGUGAUGGGGUUGAAGUCCCGGGUAGGCUGCAAGAGCUGCGUGGAGACAUGCAGCCCAGACAGAUGGCCACUCAAGCGGUACCAACCGCUGGACAGAAUGCGGCUUAUAGGCUGGCCUGUGGG